GGAUGCUCAAAGGUGGUGGUAACUUAACCCCGGAGACGGUUGUAAGUCACGGGUCGCGUCGCGAGUUUGCUCCCCGCUAGGAUGCUCCUCCGCAGCGAUGCACAGCGCGGUCGCCGCGGGGUGCUAAGGGUUAGCCAUAUGGUUCAUGAGUGAGGCGGUAGAGGGCAGGCAGCUCACCAGCUGAUGUGAUUGCAACCAAUGGAAAUCACUGAAACAAAGAAGACAGCCAAUCAGGAUCGAGGAAGGUGUUUGUAAACAAACGAUGGAAACUUGAGCAUUUGGUGCGGGGCAGUCUAGCCAGACCACUUGCUACGCUUCCCUACUUCCUUCCAUUCUUCCACCGACUGUUGCAGUGGCAACACCUGACCUCGUAGAACCCGACCACUCCUCACACCAGUCAUCCGCGCCUCACUUGGCCCUUCCUCAAGAAGACGCAAACACUCCAACUGUUGCUCCAACUCCUCUCCCUGGACGUGACGUGACCAUCUGCGCCUCACUUGCCCCUUCCUCAAGAAGACACAAAAGGAAUGGAGGGGAAGAAACCCCGUAAGGCCAACUUCUCUGAGGCUGAAGUGUUGGCAAUGGUCACGGCCAUCCGUGACAAUUAUAAUAUCCUUUUUGGUAAAUUGUCUGCGGGGACGAC